rnacentral:rRNA from 1 species
CCUACGGGAGGCUGCAGUGAGGAAUAUUGGUCAAUGGGCGCUAGCCUGAACCAGCCAAGUAGCGUGAAGGAUGACUGCCCUAUGGGUUGUAAACUUCUUUUAUAUGGGAAUAAAGUGCAGUAUGUAUACUGCUUUGCAUGUACCUUAUGAAUAAGGAUCGGCUAACUCCGUGCCAGCAGCCGCGGUAAUACGGAGGAUUCGAGCGUUAUCCGGAUUUAUUGGGUUUAAAGGGAGCGUAGGCGGGUUGUUAAGUCAGUUGUGAAAGUUUGGGGCUCAACCGUAAAAUUGCAGUUGAUACUGGCAGCCUUGAGUACAGAAGAGGUAGGCGGAAGUCGUGGUGUAGCGGUGAAAUGCAUAGAUAUCACGAGGAACUCCGAUUGCGAAGGCAGCCUGCUGGACUGUAACUGACGCUGAUGCUCGAAAGUGUGGGUAUCAAACAGGAUUAGAUACCCGAGUAGUC